UGGGGAAUAUUGGACAAUGGGCGAAAGCCUGAUCCAGCCAUGCCGCGUGUGUGAAGAAGGUCUUCGGAUUGUAAAGCACUUUAAGUUGGGAGGAAGGGCAGUAAGUUAAUACCUUGCUGUUUUGACGUUACCGACAGAAUAAGCACCGGCUAACUUCGUGCCAGCAGCCGCGGUAAUACGAAGGGUGCAAGCGUUAAUCGGAAUUACUGGGCGUAAAGCGCGCGUAGGUGGUUUGAUAAGUUGGAUGUGAAAGCCCCGGGCUCAACCUGGGAAUUGCAUCCAAAACUGUCUGACUAGAGUAUGGCAGAGGGUGGUGGAAUUUCCUGUGUAGCGGUGAAAUGCGUAGAUAUAGGAAGGAACACCAGUGGCGAAGGCGACCGCCUGGGCUAAUACUGACACUGAGGUGCGAAAGCGUGGGGAGCAAACAAGGAUUAGAUACCCUGGUAGUCCACGCCGUAAACGAUGUCGACUAGCCGUUGGGGAUCCUUGAGAUCUUAGUGGCGCAGCUAACGCAUUAAGUCGACCGCCU
rnacentral:rRNA from 1 species